rnacentral:lncRNA from 1 species
UUCGAGUCUCUGCAUAAGUGAAAAGGGAAUGUAUAUUUUUAUUUUAUUUAUUUUUCUACUCGCAAUUAGUUAUUUUAAAUUAAUUAAAUGGUUUCCUUCUUUCCCUUUUUCUUUUUAUGUUUCUUUUUGUUUUUAUUUUUGCUUCCUGUCGUUCCUUUCCUUUGCUUGCUCAUUGAUUUCUCUCUAUUAAACUUUUGCUACAGUUUGUAGGGAAAAUUGCAUAUUUCAUUAUUUUUUGACUGAAAGGUUAACUACGUAAGUUUUGUUGUUGAAUUUCUAUUAACGUUCGUUAUCGUUCGUUGUUGUCA